rnacentral:lncRNA from 1 species
GGGGUUUUGGCUUCCUGAGCACCUCUGUUGAAAUUCCCUGGGGAAUUUUGUUUUAUGAAAUUCCCAGCAACUGUGACCUUCGCUGGCUAGUGAUUCAAAGCCAGGAGAACCUAGCUCACUGGAACCUUGCCAAAGAGGAGGCAGAAAGACUGUAAGGACCAGAGGAAAUGGAGGAGACCAGGAAAACAAGGCCCUCUAGUCAACACGAUCGAAGCUUGUAUAAACCCAGAGACUGAGGGAGCAAGCACAGGGCCUGCUCAGGAAUACAACAUUCCAGAAUUGGAUGAUGAUGAUGAUGAUAAAGGAGAAGGAGAAGGAGAAGGAGAAGGAGAAGGAGAAGGAGAAGGAGAAGGAGAAGGAGAAGGAGAAGGAGAAGGAACAAGAAGAAUUGAUGUGAGGUGAGGUGGGACUGUGGCAAAAGGAAAUUGGAUAAAUUUCAAAAUGGAAUGAACUUUGUAUUUUGAAAGCUUUGUUUUCUGGCAAGAUUCAUGGUCUUCCUCCCACACUCUGGUGUGAGGCCA